GGGCGGCUCCAUCGCUCUCGGUUGCCUCCCAAACCAGGGGAACUAUUUUCCGGCGGAGGGAUUCUCUGUGACGAGUCACUCCCCCUCACAGGAGAUAAAGUGGCUGUAGUGCCGGCGGGUGAAGCGCGCGGUUUGGUUGGGCGAUGGCGGCGGCUGAGGUGCUGUGCCGGGCGGCUCUGGAGCUCUACGGGCGGCUCCGCCGAAUAUAUGAGGAAAGGGGAAAUGUCCCUGAGGAGCCGUACCUGUUUGAGACUGAUGUGGAGAUUUGUUUGAUUGAUGACAGCUGCAAAAGUCCCAUUGAAAGCUUUUGGAAUGGAAGCAAUACGAUGUAUGUUUUGCAGAAAGCACAACACCAUGAAGAAAGCGACCCAGUGGAAGAAUCAAACCCAGGUGAUGCUCUUGAGGCAUCUAAGCUUGUACCAAAGGAGGGUUCUGGUCCAGUGGCUCUUCCCAUCACAAGAGCAAGGCGGUUGAAUUCCUUAUAUGCAAUGGUGCAAAAUCCAAACAUGACCCACUUGAAGAUAAGACAACUGGUUGUGCUUCCUCCCCUCUGGAUAAGGUGUGACAGUUCCGAUCCCCAACACACUUACUGGCUUGGAGCUGAGCCUCUCAAAGCUGGACACAAAAUCACAGGGAUCAACUUGUAUACAGUCACAUGUAAUGGUCCUACAGCUGAUAAAACCUGCUUUCCAAACCUGGAGGAGCUCAAAACACAACAUAAAAUGAGACAUCAUUCAUCUACUGUAAUGACGAAAGGAUUUGCUCGGUAUGAGCUUUUUAGAGCUCCUUCAGUAGAGGACACAAUUGGAGACUCUGGAAGCUGUGUAUUUGUUGAUAUGACAUGGAAAACUGUAGAUAAGAUUCUGGAGAUGCCCCCUCUAACUUCAGCUGCCAUGCUAAAUAUUAUGCUGGAGUCUGGAGACCCUGGAAGUUCUGUCUAUCGGGUGUACAGAGAACUGCAGUUGCUCCUUACUUUAGCUGAAGGUUUGAAGACGGGUGUGACGGAGUGGCCUGAGCGUUUGGAAUCUGAAUCGGCUGUUAAACUGGUCCAGGAAUUUCUAACUGAUUUAAAGAGGAAGAUGUUUGGAUCUUGUACAUCUGGAAACGGGAAUGAAACAGAGGAAGUCAAAUCUGACAGUACUGCAGCAGAGAGUGCGAUAAAAUCAAUUUUCAGUGAGCGAGGAGACUUGGAUUUUGCUGAACAAGUGUGGUGCAAAAUGAGAAGUGUCGGUUCCUAUCAGGAGGUGGUAGAGUGUUUGUCACAGAUCAUAAAAUCCUUGGCAUGUGGUGAUAUACAACCGUGGAUUCAUCAAGGCAGUAACAGUUUGCUGAGUAAACUGGUUCAACAGUCUUAUCAUGGAAAGAUGGAGACCAUUUCCCUCAGUGGCAUCACUCCAAUUCAAAUGCUUUUGGAGGUUGGUUUGGAUAAGAUGAAGAAGGAUUAUGUCAGUUUUUUCACAGGCCGUGAUCUUGCAGCAUUAACCGACAUGGAGUACUUCAUUUCCACAUCAGUUGAUCUGCAAGAACAAGUUCAUCGCGUUCAAAAGCUUCACCAUAUGCUGGAAAUAAUGGUCAGCUCUACAGUCUUUCUGUCUCUUAAACAUGAGAACCUCUACCUUUUGACAAAAAUUUGCAUGAAGUAUUAUAAGGAAAACCCUCUAAAUGAGAAGCAUGUGUUUCAGCUGCCCAUCAGACCAGCACUUGUUAAGAAUUUCUAUCAAAAUGAUCACCCAGAAAUAUGGAAGGUGGACAUAAUUAGUGGGCAUGGACCGAAGGAGGUUAAAACAACAUGGCGUGUUAGUACUAAUCCUCCAUUUGAUCAUAUGACAAAUGAUACAGGUCUCUUUUUGAAUUCCACAGUUAAGGGAAGCCAUGAAGAAAGAAUGUAUUUUAUUACACUAGCCCAGUGCAGUCAGGUGCAUUUUGUGUAGCUGUCUGUUACUCUCCAGGCAGGCACUGGAUGGAUACAGUAAAGGGGAAAGAUUAGUUUUAUCUGUGUCCCAACAGUACAUCUAGAAAACCUCUGUGGUUUGAAGGAACAGCACAUCUUAGAAGGCGAAGAAAAACCUUUUGGCAGCUUUCUUGAGCAAACACACGAGUAGAUCCAGAGCGUUAAACCCCGCAAUCAACUGCAGUUCAAAAGUACCAGUUGGAAAAGUGCCGUAAUAGAAGGAGCCUGGAUUGUUCUUUGUCCACUGGAAAUCCUCAGCUGCGUUCAGCUGUAUUAUCGGCACAAGCACACACCAUAUUCUCAAAACAGGGAUUCUUUCUGGUGAUGUCUUUGUGGAAAAAACCAGCUCUCCCAGUCCUGGAGGUCAGCUGUUCAACUUGAGCUGCUCCUUCUUCUAGUUCUGUGAGUUAUCGUUCAGUCCUCCCUCAUAGAUUAUAUACAUUGAGAAGAGCAAACCCAUUGCUAGGGCUUGGAACCUGCUAUUCUGUUCCUCUGAAGCUAUACAGUGUGUAAGCAAAUUUCAAUUUAUUUAUUUAUUUAGCGUCUUGGUUUUGGUUUUUUAGAGCAGUACUGGUGCCCUCUCGUGGUCAAUGUCACGAAAGAGCAUUAACAUCAAAAAUGCUGCCAGGUAGCAUGAAGUCAGUAACCACACUGGAGUUCAUGUGCUGCCUCUGAUCUCAGAAGUCAAAAAGUGUCUUGCAGCUCCAGAGGGAACACCGUCAGGAGCUCCCUGUUCAUCCUUGCGGGUCUCCCAGUGCUCUUGCUUGACUCAUCAGGAUGGACUGUUUGCAAGCACAGAGGAGGAGAUCCUUGAAAAUCACCCAGCUCAUGCUCUUUGUGAUUUAUGGUGCACAUAAAGGGCGGUGUUGUAAACGUAGGUCAGGUGCUGCAGAUGAGUUCAGUGCUUAAGGCACAUUUUUAAGUACCUGCUGUACAUUUGGCAUGCUUUUCUCCAGCAGCAUACAAGGAUCACUGCGGUGCUGCGUGAUGCUAUGGUUGUUGUGAUGAUUAAAGGUGUGCGUUAAUCAUUCCUUGUUAAAUGGCAAUUGCACCUAAAACCACAGGCUUUGACAUGCCAGGAGAGAAACUGUGACUCCCUCUUUGCAGAUGAGAAGCUGAGGCCCAGGGAGGUUGGACAGAAAUGGGGCAGGGGGUUUGUAUCCAGCUGGGAACCCCACUCAGAUCUCUGGCUCUCUGCCCAGUGCCCUGUGUACCAACCAGUCUGCUGCUUUAGGGACUGGCUUGUGUGUCACUAAAGCCACUUGGUGAAUUGUCACCCACUUCGGUGGUGAGGAGUAAGCCCUUGGCGUGCACAAAAACUGCAUUUAACAUGGGCUGCUAGAAACAUGAUGCGGUUCCACUCUAAGUUGUGCUUACAUGGGUUUUCUUCUCUUAACACAAUCUUUUCCUGUGAUGUUGUUUCCCUGUUUCCUGCAUAAAAGCUCAACUCUAUAAAAAAAAUUAAAAGAAAAAAUCGUGAGAUAUCUACAUUGCUACAGCUUGGUCAUUUUUUCCUCUUGUUUCAUCUUGGAAAAGUUUUAUAAGUGGCAGUUUCUAAAAUGCACCAGAAACACAUCAAGGCUAGAAAAUAUUUUAUUUUGUUUUAUUGGUAAAAAAAAGAAUGUUAAAAGAUGUACUCAGUGGAGCCCAUCCAAAAUUGCCCAAUGACUCCAGUAAAAUAACCUGGAAAGUAGGUUAUGUGACUGGCCCAGUGCGGUGGGCAGGUCGGGGGAAAGUCGCAAUUGACUCUCCGCUUACGGCUUAUCCACUGUUUGCUUCUCUGCAGCCUGGAGUGGAUCUUUAUCCAUAAAUGACGUAGGUAUUUCGGUGUUGUCUUGCUGCAGAACUGCUCUGUGACCACGUCACUGAGACUCUGGUACAAACCCCCUGUCUUAAAGGAAUUGAUACUUAUCCUCCCACUUGAUUUUCUAUCUAGGGUAUGCUUCAUGUGGCAAAACCUCUUAUCUCCAGAUAGACAAUCAAAAAUAGAGUCAUCCCUAACAGCAGAUACUGCCAAACUGGUAUUUAUUUGAUUUUUGCUUUUAACCCUUAUGUUUUGUCUAGGCUGAUGAAAAAGUAGAAGCUUCCUAAUUCCCUGGCAGCUGUGCAAAUGAGACCAAAUCAUCCUCACUCAAUUCUAACUUAUCUCUGCAGCUUCCUGAUUCUUCAUUCUUCCGAGCUGCCCUCCCGUUCCAACUCCAAAUAGGCCUUUUCUGUCUCAGAAAGAAAAAUCUUAUUAUACAGUGACCAGAAAACCACGUAAUUUUUCCAGUGUGUGGUCUACUGCAACUACCCUGAGAUACUGGAGAUUUUUCAAAAUCAAAACAAAACCCACUUACAAUUGUUCUUGGAACAUGAACACUUGUAUAACUGUACUCAUAUUUUUCUGUGUUACAAAAUGACUUUCAUUGCAUUAUGUUAGCUGUUUUUGGAAACUUUGUCUAAUGCUCAACUGUACUGAUGGCCUGGCCUCGCUUUUCAGAGAAAAACAGAAAAUUGGAAGUAAUUGAAAUGAGGAUGCCUUGCUGUACAAUCAGUCAGGCUGCUUUGACUUGAAGCAGUUAGGGGAAUGUAGUUGUUAAUGGAGAAGAUGUUCGGAAGUGUUUCUUAUGACUAAGUGAAUUCUGAAGGCAGAAAGGAGUGUUUGGAAAAGCAGGAGAUGCAUUUUAUUGCCUAUGAAAAGAGAGCAAUGACACUGAAGACACUGCUCUAACAAGCCUGGUUUUGAACUUGCAUACAUACACCGAGGUGGCCUGGUAACUUCAGAACAGAGAUUGCCAACUUUUCCAUGCUUAGAGCCAUUUUUAUUUCUUACAUAAAUGCCUUUAGCCAGACUGAUGCGAUCAUAUUUGCACAGCUCUGCCCUGGACCCAAUAAACUCUGCUGGACCUGGCCUUGUGAUUUUCCUCUUCUGCAGCUCUUUACGGCACCACUGACCUGCUCUGCUGGUAAACCUGUUGUCGCUUGGGCUACCAGGAGGCUCCUGGUAUCCUGGAAGAUCUGUGGGCAGCUUCUGAGGAUGGUCUCCGUCUGAAGAAAACCUCCAGAUGUUUGGAAGAUCUUGUGUUUGAAGUGGGAUCCCUGAGAUGAGAUUAAAACGGAUAAAUCUGAAACUUACACCAUAUUUAUUUAGCAGUGCCUACACUAUUAUGAAAGCUACUGCUAUCAUAUUUUACGGCCAUUGGGCACACAGAAUAGCUGUUAUCACUAACUGCUGGUUUUUCUGGGGUAAUUUUGGGAAAAAUUAUGAUAUUUGAGAAUCCACCAUUGCUGUUUUGCAAAGAUUGGUGAGGAUAGGGUAAAUCUGCAGAAUCUAUUCUAGCUGUACUAAAAGCUCAAAUAUUAAAUGUCUCAUUUUUAAGUAAGCUCCCAAAUUGUAUAGUCUUAAAAAUGCUUCUUGGUGCAUGUAGAGAGGUGCAGAAACUUCCCCCUUUUGUGGAAUGCUGUUCUCCUAAAUGGUCAAAACUCAUGAGACUUUGCACUGAUUCAGUCAAAGGUGUAUAUUAGAUUUUUGAACGCACAAGCUCAGUGGAUGGUUGAAAAUCCAAACCAUGACAUAUAUUAAAUGACACAUAUUUUAGAUACUCUUGGGUGCAAUGAAAAAGGUCACAGAAGUUUGGUUCUCCAAAUCAAUUUUAAUUUAUCUUUUCCUGCUGACAGCUUCAUGCUAAGAGUUGGCCUCCAUGUGAUGUGAACGCUGAGAUGCUGCUGCAGGCUACCGCUGAUUGGAAUUUACUUGUGUUCGUCCAAUUGCAUGCUCUGCCAUCAUCUGUUUGCAAUCACAAAGAGGAAACUUCUGAAGCUUGGGAAUGAGAGAAAAUGAAGUGUCUUGACAACUACAAAACACCGAGAAAGCUUCUGGAGGUUUUCCCAUCACUGUUUGUGAAGAGGUUCAGGCUUGUGAGCAAUUGAACCCCUGAAGAGCCCUGAGCAGCAGCAUCACCCAGCGCUGGAGGAGCUUGGGGACAACCAGGGGAGUUCCAGGCUGACUCCAGGCUUGUGUCCUCACCCCCCUCACCUGUGACAUGGUUGCAAUGCCGGUCACCACCUGCUCUGCUGACCACUGUGAAAAUGCCAGUGAAAAAUGCUGUACAGUUAACUGGAAAUCUGUUAUUUAUGGCUGAACUACUAUUAGUAGUUCAGCCAUAGGGACCUGUUUCUUUCCAUCUGGCCAGUACAAGUGGAGAAGAGCAGCAAAGGGAUAUAAAAGCUGUCAGAUUCUCUCCUCUGAAGAAAGUAUCGUUGAGGGACAGUUUGAGAUCAGCAAUAUGGAACAGAAGAAUAUAAAGGGAUCCUGAUGGCUGCCAGAACAAGGGCUGGCACUUUGGAUUGCAACAUUGCUGAAAUGAAAAGCGUGAACACUACAGGAAUUUCUGCUCUAUGGAAAAAUGUUAUUUUUGGAUUCUUCAGGAAGGCGUGCACAUAAAACCGCUGGUUCCCUGAGCUUAUGUUCUACAGAAUGUGAUGGGGCCAAGAGAGAAAACCUUGAUACUGAAUGACUGUCUCAACCUCCUGCCAGGAUUCCUGACUUCCAGCUCUGUGCCCCGCCCACAGGGCCACCCCUUGUCCCCUUCGACCAUUUAUUUGUAGACCAAAAGGAAGCUGAUGAAAGCCACUGAACAGCAUCCAACUUAGAGAAAGCAUCUGCUGCACAUACAGACCUCUAUUCAACCAAGCAUCAGGACAGGCAGACUGGCCCGUUGUGUUGAACAGCCCCCCUGUGCCACCACAGGGAUGGUGGUAUUUCAGCGGUGGAUAAUCACUGCAUGUGCUUUGCAAAGGUCUGAGGAUGAAAAAUCUCUCUGCAAUUGUAGAUUUUUUUUCCCUCUCUAAGGCCAACAUUUGGCUUGGACUAUCCAAAGCAGUUAAGUUUAUUAAUAGUCUGUUUCUGGAGCCGAAGUGACUCCGUAGAGGGGAGUUAUUCUGUGCAAAACAAAACAGGAAAAGAAAACAAUGUCCAACUCCUCCGUUCUGGAGGGUCGCUCAGAAAGCAGCAUUGUUCCACCUUCUCCCACGGAGCAGAGGAGACUGGAGACAGCGCAGCCGUUGCGGGAGGAGGGUGAUGUGGUCCAGCACGGAGACGCUCUGCGGCGUGAGGGACAUAGGGAGGGCAUUCAGGGAUGAAAUGUGGCUGCCACUUUUGAAAAUGAGUCUGUUCUUGGCCAAGUCACUGGCUUAAACAUUCAGCAAGAGAAUCAAAGGAGGAAAAUUCACAGGCAGCAGCACAGGCUGUUAUUUGAUGGGAUCCAAGCGCUCAGACCCUUGGAAGGCAGCGGGAUGCGCCUCACAGCAUUGCUAGUGAGGUAUGUGCUGGACAGUGAGACUUGUUCCAUCUACAAAAGUCCAGUGCAGCUUCUAAGUGUCUCUCAAACCUAAGGGUUUGCAUGGCUUCUCUAUUUGGGAACCAGUUGACUCUUUUUUCAGCCCUCUGCCAUUGGUUUCCAUUUUUAAUCAGCACCGCUGGUUUCUCACCCUCCACACAGCCACCGGCCAGGUGUUCAAGACACAGGGACAAAGUGGGGCAGGACAUCUGAGGAGAUGCAGAAGACCCAGGUGAAGCCAACCAUGGAGAAACAGGUGGACAGACAGCUGUUCUUCCAGAGACAGAGAAUUAAAGAGAGCCUCUCAGCUCAGGAGAGCUGGGGAAGACGAGGUCGUUUCUUUUUGCGACUGAUGUUGUGUUUGUUUUUUUUUUAUUAUGACUUCCAUGUCUUCCCCUCCUGGCUAAUAAAGCUAAUUAGGCUGAAAAGGACAUGGGGAGAGAAAAUAGGUUUGCUCCAGCUCUCCAUAGUGAGCAACCUGGUGUUGUGAAACACUGGAGACAGUCGUUCGCUAAGAAAAUAAAUCGUAAAACUUUUCCCAUGGCAGGGAGUUCUCCCUAGAAAUGUUCUUCAUCACAAAAACCCCAACAUCAUCCGGCUCUUGCCUUUCCCCUCCUCUGACUAAAUAUAAAAUAGUCUUCACAUGUCUCGUUCCACUGGGAUUCUGCAGCGGUUUGAGCAUUACUGGCUUUUUUCACUGCCAUAUUUCAACAUAUGCCCCUCAUGACAGACAGCAAUGUGCCUUUCCUCAGUUUUAGCUCUUGGGUUAAUUUUGCCUAUAGAGGAAGAAUAAGCUGUAAACAUCCCCUGGACAGGGGCACUGAAGCUUGAGAUGAGUUUGGGGAAUUAUAGAAUUACAAAAUGGCAUAGAUUUUAGUGACAGUGCAAGGUAUCCACUUAAUGGCAACUUCAAGUUCCAGCAGUUCCAGUAAGGAAGUUUUAUAACAACAUUAAAUCUGGGAUAAAAAUGGAUUAUUGGCAGUUGCAGGAUUUUGGGGAAAAGGUUUGCUCUAGUUCUGAAUAAAACAAAUGGUUUGCAACUUUUCUGGGAAAUGAGGAUUUGAACAAAAAUGUUGGUUUGGUUCAAUGCAUGGUUGGAUUCGCUCUCAAAACUUGGUAGCAUUUUAAAAAUAGAAAGAAAUGUCAUUUGGAAGUGGAGAUGAUUUCAACUCGACGUGUCAAAAUGCUUCAUUCUGAGAUGCUUUGAAUUCCCUUUUAAUGGAAAUUCAGCAUCUAUAUCAUAAGGAAGUGACCAACCUCGGGCUGGCGCACGUCCGAGACAGCUAAUUUUGAAUCUUUAACUUAAAAUCACUCAUCUGGGUGGAGAAGCGCAUGACCCAUCACCGGCGAUGUCUGAGGGAGGGCGAGCUGGGCACCAGGUAGGCUGCAAGGCAAAUUAACUCGUUAGACCACAGGCUCGUCAGCUUAUUUUGCUCCCUUUGAACACCACAAAAUUCCUACUUGUUAGUCACUAUUUAUACAGUUGCACUUAGAUUCUUUCUUAAGCAUUCACAUAUUCACAAAAUACUUUUAAGAGGCAAAAACCCUGAUGUUUUAAAUGAGUUUAACAAUAAACAGGCAGAGACUAAAGCGUGCGUAGUCCUCAGGUCAAACCCGCACCAAAUUUCCACUGGCCUCAGCACAGAGCAGCUUCAAGCCUGAACUUUCACUUCCAAGUCAUGCUGGGCUGGUGAAAACAGAGUUUUGACUGAUGCUUCACACAUAAAUGAAGAAUUUUGGAGUACGGGGGUCACUAGGAGCUUGCUAACAGCUAAGCGGCGUGUGCUGGGCCCUGCUGUGGUUUAUUUUCUGCAGAGGAACUCUUUUGUUUGAUGUGUCCUCCUGGAGUCAAGCACAGCGCAGUGCAGAACUGACAGCAGAAAACUUUCCUCACAUCCCUUUACAUUUAACUAAAGCAGCUUAAUUGUUACUCAAUGGCAGCAAAUCUGCAGCAGAAGCAUCGCAGCCACUCCAAGGAGAGGAGCUCAGAUUAAAGAGCUGGCAGGGAAAGACCCUUCUGCAAGGGCAGAAAGAUCAUUCAGAAAUAUUCAUAAAACACAAGCCGAAUCUUUAAAUAUUUAUUAAAAACAGAGUUUGAAUGUUAAUUCCCCCUCACACAUCACCCCUGAAUGAGAUUCUAGAGAUGAGGAAAUGAAACCACAAAGCCAGUAAGUGAUUUGCCCGAGGCCUCGGCCAUAAAUCAGGCUCUGAACUUGAGCUCAGCUCUUCCCGCUCCCUCCGUCACCUCUCCUGACUCCGUGACGAGGUGACAGGCCGAGCUGGCGUCCAUGUUCCCCCAAGUGCCACCCAAGAGUGAUGCUCAUCGGGGUUUCAGACCUAGGUUCUGCAGCAAGGAAUGGACUCUGCAGCUACUGUGAUCCCCUCAUGUCUCCCAAAUGUUAUCACCCUCUUUAUAACAACUUGUCCCCCCAGGCUUGGGAGUUUUUUCAUGGUCUUAUCAAUGAAAACACACCUGAAUUUAGUUUGGUAGGGUAUUCUGUGUAAUUAGUAGGAAAAAAGAUCGGUGUCGGCAGUUUUGUGCUGCAAAAGAGUAUUUAAGUCUCUUUUUAGAGUCGUUCUGCUUUUGCCCAACUUCUUGGUGAUUUCUGACUUGUGGACCAUACGUCCUACAUGUGCAACCAUGAGGCCACCGACAGACCGGGAGCUUUGGUCUUCCUCCCAGGGACAACCCCAACUACCUCGAUUCCCUUUUGCAAGUUAGUGGAGCCUUAGCCCGGAGCACCCAUGAGCAGCCGGUCUCCCCAAAAGCACCGGGGCUGUGUUACCAUCCCCAGAAGCACCGUGGCUGGGUCACCGUCCCAUGCUGUGCACAGCGCAGAUGUUCCUGCGGAGCCUUGCACCAGAUGCGCUUCCUCCCAUUGGUCUCUCCAGAUAAGUCGCUUGUGUCUUAUAAGUUGUUUACUCCAUUUCUUAAAGCAGGAUGCUUUCCUUAUCUGCAAGCAGAGUAAAUUCCCCGCAGUGCCUCAUUCCUGGCCCUCUCCUGACUCCGGAGCUCGCUCAGCGCUGGUGGUGGCUCUGCCUUAUCUCCCGUCUGCAGCGCAGACAGACCCAGCCUGGAGCAGCCUCGGGGCUCUGCAAUACCAACACCAAUGUCUUCAAAGACUGAAAAUUACUCUGUAAUUUGAAUCUUUAACAACACAUGGAAAAAUCUACAGGAACUGGCCUGUAUCAUGUCUCCGAAUGGCUUCAUAAAUAUAACACUGAAGAAUUUGGACACUCUUGUGUGUGUCCAUGAUGGAUGUUUGUAUUCUAAGAAAUGCACUUUCUGCCUUUCCCUGUCUCUCUGAAGCAGCUCAAAUCCACUGUGCAGCAUUUUUUCCUGUCCCUUCCUUACCUUCAACCCUUGUCCCAUGUCACUGGCGAUUGCACCACAGCCGAGGACAGAGUUUAGCCUGUGUCAUUGAUUCCCGAGCCAGCGGGCUCCAGUGGCUCCUCCUGGGCCACCACUAUUGUUGUCAAUCCCCAUUCCCAUCUGCCUGAGAUGCAGAAGCCACAUGUAGAAAGUUCAAAUACAAAAAAGCUCGAUGGAACAUAUUUAUCUGAAAACAAUAGUGUGUCUGGAUGGAAAAAUCAGUGUUUUACACCAAUCAUGUGGUUGUUAUUAAUGCUUUCCAAAACACCCAGAGGUACCUUGAGUGUUAACUAAGAGCAGCCUGUACUAUUUUGCUUAAAAAUCAAAAUGUGCAUCUCUGCACCUAAAACUGCUCUUGUAUUUCAGCCCUGUAUCGAUGCCCAGAUGGCUGCCAGAGGAAUUUCCCCCAAAUCUGCAGUCACGGGGCUUGAUUUCAGCCCAAGAUGCUGCAGCAAAUAUUUAUGGUUGUGUUUCAGUGCUUCUUUUCCAUUCUGUUCCUCAAAGCAGGAUGGUGUCCUGUGAGCAUGGAUUGAGCCUGACCUGUAUCCCCUGCAUAGAAUCAGAGGGUGGUUUGGGUUGAAGGGAGCUUCCCAGCUCCCCCAGUGCCACCCCUGCCAUGAGCAGGGACAUCUUCACCAGCUCAGGUUGCUCAGAGCCUCGUCCAGCCUGGCCUGGGAUGUCUCCUGCCCUGCUCUGCUUUCUGCUGCCCUGCGUGGGCUGAGAUUCUGUCCCUGGUGCCAGUGAGUGCCAUGGCCAGGCUGGGGGUACACAGGGGAUACACCAGGGGUACAGCGGGUGUACCCCAGCAGGGAUGAUGCUCGCAGGCAGCACAUUCUGGUACCAUGGGCUCCUGCCAGGUUUUCCACCCCGUGCUUUAACCACACAAAGAAGCAAACCCAGCACAGAGCUGCGAGCAGGAAUUGUUUAAAGCAUCUCCGGCAGCAAAGGCUGAGCUGGAGGGUUCAUUUCCUCGGCUGCUGCAGCCCCAGAAACCCAAGAUCCACUGAUAGCCAUUGAGCAAGGAUUUCCAUUUUUGGUGCGAGUUCAGACUUAAAAUAGACAAGUCUUGAGCGAGGAAGAAACUCUUGUUGACAGAACAUAGGGAACAUUCCUCCAGUGUACUUUUGCAAAGGACUAUCUCUGUCUUUAAUCUCCGCGCCGUUUCCUGCAGGUCUCCCGGGCCCAGCUUCCCUCUCAUUGUUCCUGGCGCUUUUGGAAAUGACCUCAGGCGGUUUGCAGUGACUGGCGACCCACGGUCAGAAUGACUAACCCAGUCUGUCUCCAUCCCUUGGACAUGUCCCAUUGACUAAAUAAAUGACAGGCACUGACAUGUGAAUAGAAACAAAAACAGCCUGACAAGUGAAAUCUUAACUCUUUGGAGCAAAGAAACGUCUGGACGUGUGUUCUGCCUGCGGAGGGGAAUUGCGGCAGACAGUCCUGUCGAUGGUGAAAAUACAGCGAGCCUGCCCGAGCUGCUCAGGACGCAUGCAGAUUGGGCAGACAAACACCUCUAAUAUUAUUUUUAAUUGUUUAAAAUUGUUUUCUGAAGCUUUUUAUCUCAGCACAUCUUUAAUUAAAAGUGCAGCUGGGUGUUUAUAUGACCAUUUGUGUGUCUGGGUUCGGUGCGAAUAAUUCCACUGAACAUUACAAGCAAGGGUUAAUGACGUGAGUACCUGUUGAAGGAUCUCAGCCCUAUAUUGUGUCUAUAUCAGCAGCUAUAUAACCUACCAUAGGUGAACCUAUAGGUACUUCCUCAUGUUCAUGGUCACACCCACUGCACAUAAACACCCGUCAGACAGGUGAUCCUAAAAUCAGCCUUAGGGGGCCUGUACAGGGAGAUAUAAGCUGUACUGGGGAUGUAUGUAUUUGUGCCUCUCCUAAAUGCUACUGGUGCUGCGUGCCAUCAGGUUUCAAGGACUGAAUUCCCCAUCCGGGCCCCCACUAACACUCUUUACCAAGCUCCCUCCAGCCCCCGGCCCGGGUAAGCCACACCAGAGUCUGAGAACAAGCCACGCCAUCCCAGCGUGAUAGAUUUUUUUAGGGCCCAGACUAGCUGCCUUUGAAAUCUAACAAUAGUUUUACCAAUAAGAAUAGAAUUAGUGUUAAUAAGCUACAUUUGUGGAUUUUUUUUGGUUGGAAAAGUAGGAAAGUAUUCUCUUUAAUAUAAUCAAAAUAUAUUUUAAAUGCUGUAAUUACAAUCAUUAAUAAUGCUGCUUAGCAGUUAUUAGCACUCGGUGCAUUGUUAGGAUGUCUGCAUUAGCUAAGGCUUAAUAAUGAGGUUCAUAUUAAUCCAGAAUAAGAAAAUAAUGAUAUGGGGAGUGGUUACAGUGCUGUGGUCUGAUGGCUUCUUGCUUUAAUGUAAGUAACAAAUAAUUCCCCCUGGCUCUCAGCAUUUGUGGAUAAGGCCAUAAAAAAGGAGGGAAAAAAAAAAAAAAGAAGGAAACCUCAACUAAUAAAAAUGCCACCCUUGCUUUACGACUCAGAGAGAAACGUUUGUUGUUUGACUAAAGACGAUAUUAAUAACUUGUGUUGGGAUAGCUGAUGUCAUUCUUUGGUCCCACGCAUUUCACGUUUGCAUUGAGAGUCCAGGGACCGUGGGCCGGCGUUUGGCAGUGUCCUAGUCUUCAGUGCACGGCACGAGCGAUCCAGUGGGUCAUCGUCACAACCACUGACGGGUGUCACGGUGAGGAGACGUGGGAGCAGCCCUCGGUUGGAGGUGGCGUCAGGAGAUGUUGGCAGGUCUUGCAGCUGAGACAGGAAAAUGAUGUUCUAACCUGGCUUUUGGGGUCAUUUUAAAUGCAACACUAUUUAUUGUCUUUCCUCCCACAUGAUUCUUGCUGAUAGCUUUUGAGGACCAGCUGCUGUCCCCUACCGCAGGGCUGGGUGGAGCUCAGUGAAGACAGGACCAGUCCCAUGAAAGGUGGGACAAGAAUUGCUGGGACUCGUUCUCUCAAAUGCCUCAGCCAAGCUCUUCUGCACUUGCUUGCACUCCUCCUUUCUCUCUCGUUGCUUUUUUGGUCUCAGUUCACCACCGUGCAUUAAACAUUAUUCACUCACUAGCUGAAUAAAAAGAGGCUGAAAGCUAAAA